rnacentral:ncRNA from 2 species
ACCUGAGGUAGAGGUGCCAGUAAUAAAUAGUACUUAUAAUGAGUCGGCAGACAAUGACUUAUAAGGAAAGGUAUUAUGGCCGAAGAUUUAAAUUAUGCAAAAAUUUAUUUCUGGGGAUGCAUAAAAUAUAUGUAUAACUGUCACGAAAGUGGAGAGCUACAAGGAAU